rnacentral:piRNA from 1 species
UNCACGUGUGGGUAGCCUUAAGAAGCUGG